UACGAAGGGGGCUAGCGUUGCUCGGAAUCAUUGGGCGUAAAGGGCGCGUAGGCGGCCGGAUUAGUCGGGCGUGAAAUCCCCGGGCUCAACCCGGGGACUGCGCUCGAUACGGUCCGGCUCGAGGACGGGAGAGGGCCGCGGAAUUCCCAGUGUAGAGGUGAAAUUCGUAGAUAUUGGGAAGAACACCGGUGGCGAAGGCGGCGGCCUGGCCCGUUACUGACGCUGAGGCGCGACAGCGUGGGGAG
rnacentral:rRNA from 1 species